UGCGGCAACACGAAGGAGCAAAAAUGAUGGCAUGUGCGAAUCAAUAAUCUCCUUUCUGCAGGAGCAGAGCCCUCAUUCACACAUCUCUCCUUCACGAGCAGAGCCUACUCAGAAUGCAGAGAGAGAUUUCUGUACGGCCGGAUAAAAUGCAAAGCCAAACAAAGAGCAAACUUCCUGUUCAGCUAUUAUGCCAAGUCGAGUGAGGGGUAGCUGAGCGCGUCGACACAAUUUGAGACACGAAUUGUCGAAUACACUUAAACGUGCUAUGCUAAAUUUACCAUAUUGGAGGGCUUGCUUGUCCCGCUGAACUCAAGCCGAAUUCUGCCAAGGCACAGUUGCGGUGACAACCUGUGGGGUAGAAGAACUGGUUUGUGCAAGGGGCAUAAGAAGUCAGCUAAAUGUAUCCUGGCCCUGGGAGGAGCUAUGCCAUCUAAUUCCUGGAAGGAUGAUGGAGAGACAGGGGGAUUGUGAAUGGGAGCAGUGACUGAGAGUUCUCUGCUAUAUACCUAUGUGGCUCAGAAGUUUACUCUUGCUCCACAAAAUGGAUGAUAUGCUUUCAAGUUUUAGAGGGCCCAUAAUUGUUUCAUUUAUGAACUGUUGUAUAAGCUGCAAUAAGCCAAUGGGCAAACCAUGUGAACUCUUUCCAACAGCUCCCAAGCGUUGUAACAUUGUAUGAUCGUAAUUUAAAAUGGUGAACUUUUAUCUCACCAAGACUGAAGCUUGCAUUGGCUGAUAAUGUGAGGAAGGGUGCGGUAUAAAAUUAUUGAGAUCGAUAGUAGUCAUGGGCCACCAGCUAUAUGGAAUUUGCCUAUUUGCCUCAUGCAAAUGCACACAAUGCACUCGCCAGACUGGAACUAAACUUCUGAAAGUGAGAUAUGAGUGCAUGGAACAUCUCAUGACAUGGAACACAGAACAUAGACCAGUACUGUACAAGUCCAUGAUGUCAUGUCAACUAAUUAAACCGAUGACUCCUAAUUAGUCUAAUCCCCCUUCUCUACACAUAUUCUUUCCUCCUCUGCAUAUUCACGUGCCUAUGACUGCUUUAAAUGCUUUUUUGCUACCGAUAUCUACCACCAUGCCUGACAGUGUAUUCCAUGCACCUGCCGCUCUCUAUGUAAAAAAAAUACUAUUCUUGUAAUCUCAUUUAUACUUUUUCACCUCACCUUAGAUUCAUGCCCUCUAGUACUAGAUAUUUCAAUCCAGGGAAAACAAUACUCUCGAUCUAUGAUUUGCAUAAUUUUAUAAACUUCUAUAAGAUCUCCCCUCAGUCUCUGAUGGUGCUUGAGAAAAUAGGCCCAGGUUGUCUAACCUCUCCUCAUAGCAUAUAUGCUCCAAACCAGGCAGCAUCCUGGUAAACCCCUGUUGCACCCUCUCUAAAACCUCCAAAUCCUUCCAGUAAUAUGAUAAUUGAUACUGAAUACUAUACUCUUAAUGUGCCUAAUCAGAGUUUUAUAAAGCUACAAUAUAACUUUCGGGCUCUUGAACAUUAUGUCCUGACUAAUGAAAGUAAGCAUACCUUAUGCAUACGUUACCACCCUAUCAAGCUGUGUGGACACUUUUAGGGAGCCAUGUGCCCUGACACCAGGAUCCCUAGGUUCAUCAACUCUGAUAAGGAUCCUGCUAUUGUACUCUCACUUUAUGCUGGAUCUCCCAAAGUGCAGAACCUCUCACCUGCUCAGAUUAUACUCCACCUGCCAUUUUUUCCACCCAUAUCUGCAACUGAUCUAUAUUCCACUGUUUCCUUUGGUGAUCUUCAAUGCAAAUCACAAUGUCACCAAUCUUUAUUUUGUCUACAAGCUUAGCCACACACCCUCCCACAUUUUCAUCCAAAUCAUUUACACAUAUGUCAAACAGCAGAGCUCCCAGUACAGAUAUCUGCAGAAUAUCUCCAGUUACAAAUUUCAAUCCAGAAUAAGGCUGGACAACCACCAUCCAUUGUCUUCUAUGCACACACCAAUCUCAGAUUCAAUCAGUCAGUUCACCUUGGAUACCACACAUCCCAAUUUUCUGGGUGAGCCUUCCAAGUCGGAUCUUGUCAAAUGACUAAAUUCCAUGGAUACAACAUCUGCUGCUCUACUUUCAUUGAUAACCUAUGUCACCUCCUUGAAAAACUUGUUCAGUUUAGUCAGACAUGACCUGCCUUGCACAAAGGCAUACAAAGAGUCCUUAAUUAGCCAAUGAGUGUUUGGGUUUCAGGAAAAAUUCCACUGGGCAGUGCACCAAAACAUUUCACUAUGCAGAAGAACUUCUGCUUCAGAACACUUUCAUAUCCACAGAUGCAAUUUCUGACUGAAAUAUUUUUAUUGAUUUUUGCAUAAGAAAUAUUCAUUCUUAUAAUAUUAAAAUUGAUCCUUUCAAGUGGCAGCUCCAGAAAACUCUGAAAUUUUAGAAAAGAUCAGGUUUCAUGAUUGCUUGGAAGGAAAAUAAAUGCACAUUUGAAGAAUUGCAUUCAUGUUAAAUUUAACUGCACAAUUUAAAAUGAACAUCAAUCUGAUCAUUUUGUUCUCAACAAUCAAUUUGCAAGUACUAAGAAGCAAAGAGCAGAUCAAGUCACAAAACAGUCCAUAGGACCUGGUGCUAUUAAAUGCAUGAAGACACAAUAUCAAAGUUCUAGGGAAUACAACCAACUAAAUUCCAAGAAAUUGGAAACAUGAUGCAAAUAGAGUUCAGAUCAAAAUGAUUCACAUUGGCUUGUCCAGUGUUGCUGUAAUUUAACAUCAGACAUAUUAAUCUGGAUCUUAUGAAGUAUAUAAGGAGACAAUCAAUUAAAAGUCCCCCUGGGCAGAUUGGAUAUCAUAGAGAAUGUAAUAGUCAAGAGCCAGAACCACCAAAGUGGAAGCCUAAUGCUAUUCUCUUGAGACAGACUAUUCUUUUAAACUUAGGAACAAUGUGUCAAAUGAACUCUUUUCCAUUUGACAUGUUAUUUUCCAUUUUUAGGAUAGGUGAAUCCCUGGGAUCAUACAGGAUAUACCCCCGGUUAUGAUGUAAAGUGAGGGAGCUGAUUGUUGGAUAUUGACGAUGAUGCUUGCAUUCUCCUUGGCCAUAUGAGUGAUACCAGAGGACUGGAGGAUGGCAAGUGUUCUUCAGUCGUUCUAGAAAGGUCAUGGGGAUAACCCUUGGACUAAUAGGCCAGAAAGCCUUACGUCAGUGGUGGGCAGACUAAUGGAGACAUCUUAGGGACAGGGACAGGAUUUACAAGUAUUUUGGAAAAGCUCGUUUUAUUGGAGAUAGUCAGCAUGGUUUUUGCAGAGUAGGUUGUGCUUCACGAGCCUAGUUGAGUUUUUCAAGCACAUGACCUAACAAGUUGAUGAAGGUAGAGAAGUGGGUAUGGUGUUUAUGGCAUUUUAUAAGGUUCCCCUUAGUGAGCUCAUCCAGAAAGUCGUAAGGCAUAAGAUCCAGAGAAGCUUGGCUACAAGGAUUCAGAAUUGGAUUGUCCAUAGAAGGUAGAGGGUGGUAGUAGAUGGGGCACAUUCUUUUGGAAGACAAUGGCCAGUUGCAUCUGCAGGGAUCUGAUCUGUGAUCCUUGCUCUUUGAAAUUUUUAUAAAUGAAUUGGAUGAGGAAAUGGAGGGGUGGAUUUGUAACUUUGCAGAUGAUACAAUGGUUGGUUGUGUUGUGGAGAAACACACAGAUUUAACAGAAUAAUACUUCGGCUCUUCUCGAGAGAUUACACAAAAUGGGAUUGUACCUUCUUAUUCUUGAUAUUUUAAGAGGAGCUAAUAUUUAGACAAAAAAAUGUUUCCACAGUUUGUGAAGCUCAUGGCCAAGGAGGACAUACUGAAAAUGAAAGGCAGCCCUCUCUUACUGAAAGCUAGAUAUGUUCAGAACUGUCUUCCAUAAGCAACAUUUGAGACCAGGGUCAAUAGCUAAACUUAAAACAGAUGUUGAUGGAUUUUUAUAAGCAAGAUAUUAUGGAGAGAAAGGCAAGUGUAUGGAGUUAGAUAACAGCUCAGUCACAAAGAGAUCAGGCUUAAAGUGCUACGUAACCUAUUUUAAUAUGGUUCUUCCAGACCAUUCUCAUUAACUUUAAUAUCUAAAGGGAACAUACAGCAGAUCAUCAAAAAAUCCACUGUAUAUACAGAAACUAUAAGAUGAUUAUCAUUUUGUAGAGAAAGCCUGAGAAUUAAUCACUAAACUGUUUGUUUUUACUGCAACAAUUGCUAAUGACAAAGAACUUAUGAGUUAUUUAAGACAGUGAAUUGUUACACACGCUUUAUUUGUAAAUAGCUCACAAACUUUUCACAAGCAUUGAUUGAUGUUUGCAACUGCAUCAAAUGUGUUUUCUUAUGGGCAUUCUAGUGUAUGAAGCGUUUGGUUGUGAUAUUUAACUGUUGAGCUAAUUAAUAUGACCACUUAAGACCACACGCCAAUGUAACCCUUGGGGGAAUGAUUCAGAAAGAGAGAUCCAGGCAAAUCAGGAGCUGUCUGUCCUUGUAAAGUUCUGACAUCUGUCUGUCCUUGUAAAGUUCUGACAUCUUAUUUCAAUAUCCUUUUGAAAGUGUUGUUAACUAAGGGUGCAUACACAUUCACAGGUGAAUAUUUAGAGAUUCCAACUUGCUAUUGAAGGAAAAUUUAGGCGUAUUCUUGGUGUCUGAGCCAACAUUCCUCCUUUACACGCAACCCCAAAAAAAUAAAUGAACAGUUCUCCGCUGACAGUGGGCUAAUGCCAAGUUGGCAGGCAGAGAAGGAAAUGCAAUUCUAAAAGCAAUAAUUUGCUACAACUUUCUUGAGAUUUAAAGCUGGUAGAUUUUAUCUCCCUGGAAUGUCUAGUUAUCUGCUGCCCAUUUGGACUGUAAAUUGGGAUAUAUUAGCAUGAAGAACUUUUUGUACAAAUUGUCAACAAUAUUGUCCAAUUUUGCAACUAGACAUUUGAAGGAAAGCAUUUUCUAAUAAGUAUUUUAUACAUUGUAUAACAAACAGAAGAAAGAACCUGUAGUAACUCAAGAUUUCUCAUCUCACACAGCACAAUAGAUUUAUUGUGUUCAUAUUGAGGGUGAGCAGUGUUUACAGACUGAAAUGAACUCAUUAGAAGAAGAGAAUUUUAGAAGCUGAAAGCUAUUGUUGUCCGUGGAUAGAGUGAGUCAAUUCAAUAUAUGGAGGAGAAGCAAUGAUGAAUAGUACACUGCCAUAGUCUGAACUAAUAAAAAGAUUGUAUUUAUAUUUAUUUCUCUCUGUGACUUGAAUAAUUGUUUGAAAUGCUAUAUCCCUCAAAACUAUGGGCCAAGAGUUGGACUGCAGGAUUAGGCCAGACAGCCAGAGUUGAUAUGUUGACCAGAAUGGUCUUUCUCUGUGGUGCAGGCAUCCAUAAUUUCUAGAUUUUAUAUUGAACCCUUGAAAUUAUUCCAAUGAUCAUGCACCAGUGUAAACAGUCUGAUUUAAUGGAGGUGUUUCAGACCUCAUACUUCACAUAAUCGGGCUAGUUAUGGCUGCAGCAUACAGCAAGACCCAAUAACUCAUAAAACAUAAGACACAGGAGCAAAAUUAGGCAAUUCAGCCCAUCGAGUCUGUUCUGCUAUUCCAUCAUGGCUGAUUUAUUGUACCUCUCAAACCCAUUCUCCUGCCUUCUCCUCAUAUCCUUUGACACCCUGAAAUCCAGCACACUCAAGACAUUGAUAGUGCCAGGUUGCAGGUCUUCUGUACUAUGGGAUGUUAUUUCUAUUAACAUUUAAACUGUCUCUUAAUCAUCUUUCUUUGGGAUAUUACUCAGCUGAUAAUACACUUUCUAUCAAAGCAGUUAAGUUGAAAGGAAGCGUGAAUAAAAUGCUCAGGGUGAAAAUGUUGAAGAUAGAAUAGUACAACACAGUAGAGGCCUUUUGACCCAUAAUGUUCUGCUGUCCUUUUUAACCUACUCCGUGAUCAACUUAACCCUUCCCUCCUACACAGCACACAAGUCUCCAUUUUAAUUCCAACCCAGACAGCUACCUACCUCUGACAUCUCCCUUAAACUUUCCUCCAUUCACUUUAAAUGGAUGUCCUCUGGUAUUAGCCACUGCUACCCUCAGAAAAAGUUGCUGGUUACCCACUCUAUCUAUGUCUUUUAUAAUGUUAUACAGUUGCAUCAAGUCACCUCUCAAUCUCAUUCACUGCAAAGAGAGAAUCCCUAGCUGAUUCGAUCUUUCCUCAGAAGACAUGUUCUCAUGUUCUUUAAUCCACAUCCUGGUAAACCUCUGCACCCUCUCUAAUGGUGAGUUGAAAGGAGUGCAGGAAUUGUGGCUUUUGUGAUUCACAAGGCUGUCCAAGAAGUGGGGCCCUGGUGAGUGGAAAGGAAAUAUAGGAAUUGAAGCCCCAGUAAGUCAGAGCAUGGGAGCAAUUGCCCUGGGGACUGGCAAAGCACCAGGAGAGCCAGGUGCUAAAGGCAUCAGGAUUUCAAGUCCCCAGAUAGUUGAGUAAUGGGGUUUCAUUGAGUAAAAGUUCUUGGAGCUCAAAUAAAAAUUUAAAGAAAAAAUAAAAGUAAAUGAGAAACCAUGUAGAUAGGAAGAAGACAAAAGUGACAAAAAAGGUCAGCCAUUUUUCAAUUCAUGGAAAAGGCUAAAUUUGUGAUGCAAAAUAUGUUGAUGUUUCUUAUAUAGCUUCCUUCAAUCUCAUGAUAGAAGAAUACAAUCUACAGUAUGCAUAAAAUCUAAUUUUAUUCAUGCACUGAAAAUUAAGGUAACUUAGGGGGAGGAUAGGACCACUCAAUCAGAAAGAAGUCAGAGAAAGUAGGUGAGCUACUAAAUAAAUACCUAGAAUUGAUCUUCACCAAGUAGAAAGAGAAGGAGAGUAGGAUCAGUGCAAGGGAUGUUAAUAUACCAGCACAUGUUGAUAUCAAGAAGGAGGAGAUUUUGAACAUUUAUUGUGGAUAAGUCUCCAGUGCUGAAGAAGCAGGGUGUUUGAAGGACUUAAAUAUAUCAGGGGAAUGGGCAAAGAAGUGGCAGAUGGAAUAUAAUGCAGGGAAAUGCAUGGUCAUGCACUUUGGUAGAAAGAAUAAAGGUAUGAACUAUUUUGCAAGUGGGGAAUUCAAAAAUCUGAGGUGCAAAGGGACUUGGGAGUCCUAGUGCAGAAUUGCCUAAAGGUUAAUUUGCAGAUUGAGUGGAUGGUGAGGAAGGCAAAUGCAAUGUUAGCAUUCAUUUUGAGAGGACUAGAAUGUAAGAGCAAAGGUACGAUAUUUAAUAUUUUGGACACAAGAAUCAACUACAGCUGCUUGCCCACAGUGGGUAAAUUUGGAAUGUAAAUCUGUACAAGACUUUUCAUUGUUUUCUAUUUUAGGAUUUUCACUUCCUUUUUCUUUAUCUAAAUUGAAUAAGCAAAUAACUAAACCUAUAGUCAAAUAUACAUUGCAAAUUUGGUUUCAAUUUUGUAAAUUUUUUGGUUUGAAUAAGUUUAUUUUAUGAUACUCUAUAAUAUCUAACUAUUUUUUUCAGCCCUCUUUUAUGGAUCAAGCUUUUCUUUUAUGGAAAACAAAAGGUAUAACAUGUAUCCG